UUAAGUUAUUAAGGGCGCACGGUGGAUGCCUUGGCACUAGAAGCCGAUGAAGGACGUUACUAACGACGAUAUGCUUUGGGGAGCUGUAAGUAAGCUUUGAUCCAGAGAUUUCCGAAUGGGGAAACCCAGCAUGAGUUAUGUCAUGUUAUCGAUAUGUGAAUACAUAGCAUAUCAGAAGGCACACCCGGAGAACUGAAACAUCUUAGUACCCGGAGGAAGAGAAAGAAAAUUCGAUUCCCUUAGUAGCGGCGAGCGAAAUGGGAAGAGCCCAAACCAACAAGCUUGCUUGUUGGGGUUGUAGGACACUCUAUACGGAGUUACAAAGGACGACAUUAGACGAAUCAUCUGGAAAGAUGAAUCAAAGAAGGUAAUAAUCCUGUAGUCGAAAAUGUUGUCUCUCUUGAGUGGAUCCUGAGUACGACGGAGCACGUGAAAUUCCGUCGGAAUCUGGGAGGACCAUCUCCUAAGGCUAAAUACUCUCUAGUGACCGAUAGUGAACCAGUACCGUGAGGGAAAGGUGAAAAGCACCCCGGAAGGGGAGUGAAAUAGAACCUGAAACCGUGUGCUUACAAGUAGUCAGAGCCCGUUAAUGGGUGAUGGCGUGCCUUUUGUAGAAUGAACCGGCGAGUUACGAUUUGAUGCAAGGUUAAGCAGUAAAUGUGGAGCCGUAGCGAAAGCGAGUCUGAAUAGGGCGUUUAGUAUUUGGUCGUAGACCCGAAACCAGGUGAUCUACCCUUGGUCAGGUUGAAGUUCAGGUAACACUGAAUGGAGGACCGAACCGACUUACGUUGAAAAGUGAGCGGAUGAACUGAGGGUAGCGGAGAAAUUCCAAUCGAACCUGGAGAUAGCUGGUUCUCUCCGAAAUAGCUUUAGGGCUAGCCUCAAGUGAUGAUUAUUGGAGGUAGAGCACUGUUUGGACGAGGGGCCCCUCUCGGGUUACCGAAUUCAGACAAACUCCGAAUGCCAAUUAAUUUAACUUGGGAGUCAGAACAUGGGUGAUAAGGUCCGUGUUCGAAAGGGAAACAGCCCAGACCACCAGCUAAGGUCCCAAAAUAUAUGUUAAGUGGAAAAGGAUGUGGCGUUGCCCAGACAACUAGGAUGUUGGCUUAGAAGCAGCCAUCAUUUAAAGAGUGCGUAAUAGCUCACUAGUCGAGUGACACUGCGCCGAAAAUGUACCGGGGCUAAACAUAUUACCGAAGCUGUGGAUUGUCCUUUGGACAAUGGUAGGAGAGCGUUCUAAGGGCGUUGAAGCAUGAUCGUAAGGACAUGUGGAGCGCUUAGAAGUGAGAAUGCCGGUGUGAGUAGCGAAAGACGGGUGAGAAUCCCGUCCACCGAUUGACUAAGGUUUCCAGAGGAAGGCUCGUCCGCUCUGGGUUAGUCGGGUCCUAAGCUGAGGCCGACAGGCGUAGGCGAUGGAUAACAGGUUGAUAUUCCUGUACCACCUAUAAUCGUUUUAAUCGAUGGGGGGACGCAGUAGGAUAGGCGAAGCGUGCGAUUGGAUUGCACGUCUAAGCAGUAAGGCUGAGUAUUAGGCAAAUCCGGUACUCGUUAAGGCUGAGCUGUGAUGGGGAGAAGACAUUGUGUCUUCGAGUCGUUGAUUUCACACUGCCGAGAAAAGCCUCUAGAUAGAAAAUAGGUGCCCGUACCGCAAACCGACACAGGUAGUCAAGAUGAGAAUUCUAAGGUGAGCGAGCGAACUCUCGUUAAGGAACUCGGCAAAAUGACCCCGUAACUUCGGGAGAAGGGGUGCUCUUUAGGGUUAACGCCCAGAAGAGCCGCAGUGAAUAGGCCCAAGCGACUGUUUAUCAAAAACACAGGUCUCUGCUAAACCGUAAGGUGAUGUAUAGGGGCUGACGCCUGCCCGGUGCUGGAAGGUUAAGAGGAGUGGUUAGCUUCUGCGAAGCUACGAAUCGAAGCCCCAGUAAACGGCGGCCGUAACUAUAACGGUCCUAAGGUAGCGAAAUUCCUUGUCGGGUAAGUUCCGACCCGCACGAAAGGCGUAACGAUUUGGGCACUGUCUCAACGAGAGACUCGGUGAAAUCAUAGUACCUGUGAAGAUGCAGGUUACCCGCGACAGGACGGAAAGACCCCGUGGAGCUUUACUGUAGCCUGAUAUUGAAAUUCGGCACAGCUUGUACAGGAUAGGUAGGAGCCUUUGAAACGUGAGCGCUAGCUUACGUGGAGGCGCUGGUGGGAUACUACCCUAGCUGUGUUGGCUUUCUAACCCGCACCACUUAUCGUGGUGGGAGACAGUGUCAGGCGGGCAGUUUGACUGGGGCGGUCGCCUCCUAAAAGGUAACGGAGGCGCUCAAAGGUUCCCUCAGAAUGGUUGGAAAUCAUUCAUAGAGUGUAAAGGCAUAAGGGAGCUUGACUGCGAGACCUACAAGUCGAGCAGGGUCGAAAGACGGACUUAGUGAUCCGGUGGUUCCGCAUGGAAGGGCCAUCGCUCAACGGAUAAAAGCUACCCCGGGGAUAACAGGCUUAUCUCCCCCAAGAGUUCACAUCGACGGGGAGGUUUGGCACCUCGAUGUCGGCUCAUCGCAUCCUGGGGCUGUAGUCGGUCCCAAGGGUUGGGCUGUUCGCCCAUUAAAGCGGUACGCGAGCUGGGUUCAGAACGUCGUGAGACAGUUCGGUCCCUAUCCGUCGUGGGCGUAGGAAAUUUGAGAGGAGCUGUCCUUAGUACGAGAGGACCGGGAUGGACAUACCUCUGGUGUACCAGUUGUCGUGCCAACGGCAUAGCUGGGUAGCUAUGUGUGGACGGGAUAAGUGCUGAAAGCAUCUAAGCAUGAAGCCCCCCUCAAGAUGAGAUUUCCCAACUUCGGUUAUAAGAUCCCUCAAAGAUGAUGAGGUUAAUAGGUUCGAGGUGGAAGCAUGGUGACAUGUGGAGCUGACGAAUACUAAUCGAUCGAAGACUUAAUC
rnacentral:rRNA from 1 species